CCUACGGGUGGCAGCAGUGGGGAAUAUUUGGCAAUGGGCGCAAGCCUGAUCCAGCAAUGCCGCGUGAAGGAAGAAGGCUCUCGGGUUGGUAAAUUCCUUUAAUAGGGACGAAGGAUGUGACGGUACUUGAUGAAUAAGCACCGGCUAACUACGUGCCAGCAGCCGCGGCAAUACGGAGGGAGCAAGCGUUAUUCGGAUUUACUGGGUGUAAAGGGCGCGUAGGCGGGAUGGCAAGUCAGGUGUGAAAAGCAGGGGCUCAACCCCUGAACUGCAUAUGAAACUGUCGUUCUUGAGUAAUGGAGAGGUUGACGGAAUUCCUAGUGUAGCGGUGAAAUGCGUAGAUAUUAGGAGGAACACCAGUGGCGAAGGCGGGUAACUGGACAGCAACUGACGCUGAGGCGCGAAAGCGUGGGGAGCAAACAGGAUUAGAUACCCGAGUAGUC
rnacentral:rRNA from 1 species